UACGUAGGGGACGAGCGUUGUCCGGAUUUAUUGGGCGUAAAGCGCGCGUAGGCGGCCGUUCGCGUCGGAUGUGAAAGCUCGAGGCUUAACCUCGAGAGGCCAUUCGAUACGGGACGGCUAGAGGCAGCUAGGGGAGAGUGGAAUUCCUGGUGUAGCGGUGAAAUGCGCAGAUAUCAGGAGGAACACCGGUGGCGAAGGCGGCUCUCUAGGGCUGAUCUGACGCUGAGGCGCGAAAGCUGGGGGAGCGAACAGGAUUAGAAACCCGUGUAGU
rnacentral:rRNA from 1 species